GUUUGAACGUUGCGGAAGUAAGUCCAAUUAGCACGGAACAUAACACAGGACUACAGCUGUAAUUAUUUGCAUUAAACUAAAGUAACGAUUUGCUGUUAGAUCGAAUGUUUUUAUUUGCGAUAUGGCAGAGAAAGUCAAGUAAAAUAACUAUAUGGAUGAAAUUAUAUGUUGACUUCAGGAUACGAGAACAUACCGAUGUGAGUGAUGACAAAAGAUAAAGAAUGCGAACUUCUCACCUUCAACUUUGAACCAAAAUUUCUACCGCCUUCACCUUCCGACGAAAGGACAGAUGUUUCACUACUUCCGGUGUCAUCAACAGAUGGUUGUACGAGUUAUAAUGGAGAUGUGUUAAGUGUUCCUACGGGAAAAAAUGACAAACGGAAGCUUUCUGAGUCUAGGAACGGACCACCAAAUUAUCUAGGUCUAGCUCUGUUUGUUACGUUGUGUAAUUGUCCUUUUGGGUCUCUUGCCAUCUUGUUCGCUAUAUUGUCCAGACGUCAGUAUGCUUCUGGCGAGAUCGUAGACGCAAAGCAAAAAGGAACGAUUUCUAAAUGGCUUUCAAUUUUAGGAGUUACUGCAACUCUUUUGUUAAUAGCAUUCUUACUAGUGUACAAGUUUGUUAUUUUGCCAAAUGUUGUUGUUGAUCUGAAAGCACUGCAAGACCAACUUAAAAAUUAAAAGUCUUUUUUUCUGAGUAAGAAAUACAGGGAAACAUUCAUUUUACUCUGCAAAGCAGAAACAAAACUACUGUGUCAUAUUGAAAAAAUACAUUUGAAACUAUAGUUAUGUUUUCAUGAUUUUAUUGAAUCUUCCAGUUUUGCCUUCACUACGUUAUGGAAAAUAGAAUGUACUAAGUGAUAAAUUAUAUGAAGAUUCUCCGUCAUGAUUUCAUGAUCUUUAACAUUAGUAGGAGAAUUUGAACAUUUUGUAAGACAUUAACAGUGUGACAGUAUUAAACAGAGCAAACAUAUAUCAAAUCCAGCCAUAUUUUAGUAUAACGUUUACCAUUUGUAUGAAGACUAGAUACUCAAGAAUUGCAGAGACAACGAAGUGUCUAUUGACGUCCAUGCUAACUAAAGUAUUUUUCUGUUCCCCUAUAUUGUUUGUAGUGUUUUGAUUUGUGAGUGCUAUUACGAGAGCUCCGUACUGUCAGGUAUUCUUAGGCAUUCGAAGAAUUAAAAAACACUCCGUUAGAUGUAAGCCUACCAUGUACUACUGUCAAAACUUCGAACACAUAAUGUUUAAGUACUUCCUGUAUGAUAGUACAUCUCUGAAAUUUCAGCUAGCUAUAAACAAAAUUAUUUUCAAUUUUACAAUAGUAAGGAGGUGAUUAAGAAUUUUAUAUUUUACUAUUCUCAAAAGAAUAGGUUAUUAUCAUAACUAUCAUGACAAUGAUGGAUGCAUACUGUUAUAAUAUUGUUGUUAUUUGAAAUACAAUAUUUUGGACUAUUUUCUCUUUUCUUAAGGAAAAAAUCUAAUGAAUUUAAGUAUUUGUCUACGUUUCAAGUUCUUUUCAUAAAAAGAAUUUAAAGGGGCAUUAGCUACGAUUUAGACAAAAAAAUUAAAUUUGGAAUCUUUUUGUUUUAAGUAUUAAUAAAAGCGGAAUUUUGAAUUAAAAUUUCGUUAUAACCAGUUUGUUUUGCCCAAAUUUGUCGAAAUAAGCUAAAAAAUAUCGCUGAUGUAUUAUUGACUUGCAAGUGAAUAAUUCGACCUAAUGUGAAUCCAUAUACAUGUCAACUUCAAUUUAACCCCUUAGCUGGAGAUGGGUUACGCAUGAACUAGGCGUGUUCAGCGAUUAAAAGGAGAAGAAUGUCAACAUAGAAAGUGAAACAAGAGUGAACCAUUUUGUUGACUGAUUCGAUCCACAAAAAAAACCCAUUCUUAUUCAGUUAAAAACGAUGAUUAACUUAUUUUUUAACAUAUAACAUGAAAUCAAACAGACCUAGAAAAAUCCAAUUACACGUGGUCUCUAUCUAUUUAUAUUUAUAUUUAUGUUUAUAUGACUGUCAAAAGUCUUCGGAGGUCAUCUCGAUAGUUAAUCAGAUGGCGUUUAGAUAAAUUACACACGAAAUGCUGAUAUGUAUUAUCGAAUCCAUGCAUUGCUAAUUGUUUAUUUUAGACUUAUUGUAAUUUGGAUAUACGUUUUAGUAUGUUAUAAAUUAGAUAUGAGAAUUUGAGUCAAUCGGUGAACAUGAAUUUGACAGCUAAUGCCCUUUUAAAAGAAUGGAAAAUCAUUUGAUAUAUCCUCUUCUUAAAUUUCUCCUUGGUUGUAACUGAUGCUACAAAGUUUAUCAGGUUUGAACAAUUAUACCCAUCAGUAUUUAUGAGAAUGCCAGUAUGUAGUUAUCCAAAUACUGCUGAAUAUGAAGAACAUGUUUAUUUUGUUAGUAUCAGAAUCAAACGUAUAAAUUACUGCUCUUUAUGUUAUUUUCAUACUGUGUAUUGAAAGGUUUGAAACGUUUAACUUUUACUGAUGUAAUUGUCUUUUUUGUAUAUGUAUUGUUUAAACAUCAAAUUAAAAGAAGACCUUAAAUAUGCCCAUGA